rnacentral:ncRNA from 1 species
UCCCGUGAAGAAACAGGAAUAACAUAAUAAGACGAGAAGACCCUAUCGAGCUUAAUUUAUUAGCCUACCCAACCAAUUUCCAACCACAAGGGCAUAAAACAUAUAUGAACCUAGGCUAAUAAUUUCAGUUGGGGUGACCUCGGAGAAUAACAAAACCUCCGAAUGAUAUUAACCUAGAUCCAACAAAUCAAAGUCUUCAUCAUCAAUUGAUCCAAAACUCCUUUUGACCAACGGACCAAGUUACCCUAGGGAUAACAGCGCAAUCCUAUUCUAGAGUUCAUAUCGAUGAUAGGGUUUACGACCUCGAUGUUGGAUCAGGACAUCCUAAUGGUGCAGCAGCUAUUAAGGGUUCGUUUGUUCAACGAUUAAUAGUCCUACGUGAUCUGAGUUCAAACCGGAGCAAUCCAGGUCGGUUUCUAUCUAUUAU